CAUCGCUACUCGUACGGCUCGCACCUGAUCUCCUGUCGACUAAAUAAUGUGUAAAAGUGCACAAAGUCCUAUAUUUUCGACGAAAAAUCGAGUAAUAUCGCAGCUAUUUCAGUGUUAAAAUAUUUUCAGCGGUACAGUUUACACGAGCCAUCGCGCUGGGAUUUUACGCAUAGUUCCGACUAACGAGUCUGGAAUAACAAAGAGGAGAAACGUCAAAAUUGGAACAGCCGAUUUGCUGUCAUCCCCAUAGUUCCAAUCGAGCAGGAGACCUGUCAAAACGACCAGGAUUCGCCACUUUGGUAUACUCGAGACACUUUAGUUCCGACAUGUAUUAAACGAUGGAGCAGGUCCUGUAGGAUUGCUGUAUCUGCCUGCGGAAUAGGAACAACUUCCUGUGCAUCUGCGACAAGACGAAUAUUUACUGAGCGCGUUGAUCAGAUCCUGGCCAGCUACUUUUGGUUCGAGGACGAGCAGGUCAUGCUGUACUCCAGCUGUUGGGAGAAGAUCGAUGAGUGUGCCGAAGAAAAAACGUGGUCGGAAGUGUAGGAAGCGGUCCAACUGUUGGACUCCAACAAGGAAGAGGAAGGGGACGGGGAUGAAGAGUGGAAGCCUUCGACCGAUGGGUUGAGAUUCCCGAUGCCUUUGCAGGUGAAGCUAGAUGUGGGGAAGUGUAAAAAAUACUCUAGAAUGUAAGUAUUAUAUCAUGCAUUUCUCACCCCUGUUAGCUAGUGCUUGUAUGUAUUUUGGCCAGGAUUGCUUUAUAACAAACUAGCUGUUCCGGCAAACGCCGUACUGCCUGCCUACCGUUUCGUCAUCUGUAUGGGAACCCUCCUUUCCAGAGAUGGGAGGAGUUCUGGUGUAAUGCUGUUACUUCUUACAAUGACUCGUGUUUUGAAGUGCUAAUCAAAGUUUCAGCUUUUUGCAACAUUCCGUUCCCCAUAUAUGUGUUUGGGAAGCUUCAGAACUCCAUUCCGGAUAAACGAGUCCAGCCUGUACUGUUACCAAAAGCAGUCACUCUCUUGCAAUAUGUAUGCCAAAAUAUUUCAGUAUUAUUUUUCUUCUUCGUAGCGAAUAUCCCCACUGAAAAAAAAACCCCGCUUUUCAGCUUUGUGUUCUAUCAAAGAUUUUUAAGUACUAAUAUACUAUUAGAUUCUAUGAGCACUUUCAUAGUUUGUAAAGAACUAGCAUAAGUUAAAAUUCACGAAAAUAAAAAAAAAAUAAUUAAAAAAAAAACUUCCAUAUAGGGUGACCAAGGAUAUUAUCGGCAGGAUUGUUCCCUUUGUCAUUAGAGGUUUUAGUCGGUCAACUUGCUUGAAACUUGGUCGUAUAAUUCUGCUUGCUUGGGAAGGAUUUGCGGCCAAUUGUGAGUUCAAGAGGUUUAUAAAAGCCCCCCAUGACGAACAAAAAAAAAAACGGCCCAAAAUACGUAAGUUCCCCUAGUUAUUGACUGAGAGUUUCCUCUGAUCGUUUUGCCUAUGUAUAUCGUGUGUCAGGCACGAAGAUACUCUAUGCCCAAGGAAGUCAAGGAAUUUUCAAUAAUUGUUAAUAGUUCCUGGACUGACCGGGAAUCGAAUCCGGUUACCUUCAACAUGAUCAUGCUGACACCCAUGCCCUAUUCCAGUCAUUGAAUCGAAUAAACGGUUGACAGCAUACGUGCCAACUUGUGGCCUAUGUGGGAGUGGGCAAGACAUCCCAAAAUUAAUUAAAUUCGGAAACAAUCGACGCAGUUGAUCUAAUUUAUAUACAAAUAUUUACGUGACAAUUAUUGCAUUGAGUUCAUGAAUUUUAUUCAAUUUUCAAGAGCGGCCCCCCUUCUUUCGGGUACAAUUGAUCACUAUUUAUAGUUUUUUUUUUAAUCAUUAUAUAUUUCUAGACCAACAUGUGAAAAGGGCGGAAAAGCCAAAAUGUAAACAAAUAACUUUUCAGCAUAAUUUGAUGAAACAACUCAUGAACAUAUGAUUUUUCCUGACGUUAGCUCAAAAAUGAGUUUCCACUUAUGGAAAACAAUAAUUUAAAUAAAGGCGGAUUUCCACAUCUGAUUUUGAUCACUUCAUUUGGUUGUUCCGCCAAUGAUCUUGCGCCUUUGAAAAAAGCACAAAAAUGCACAAAAUUGUUAACACUGUUGAAUAAACAGUCGUGAACAGCAUCUCGCCAUUCAAAUUUAUCAAAUUUACACAAAACUUUUACUCCUACUUGAUUAAAGUCGCCCCUAAUUACUUACACCGUUAUUGAAAAGCCUUCGUCAUUACGUCGUGCUUCGGCGCCCAUUAAAAUGUCUGAGUGGAAAUCCGCCGCGCACUUAUUGCUCUUGUUGCGCACGGAUGGUUCUUACGCCCAAGAUCAAAUCGUGCGUUUUUCACCGUAAAAUUCAAUAAAGUCGCUGACUGACUGCAAUAAGUGGCGAUAAUAUGGCUUCAAUGUCUAUUCAGGAUAUAUUUUCUCCAAAGGACCCAGGUUUGGAUGAUAUGCAGCUGGUAAAGCUUCACUGAUAAAAACACAGACAAACAGACGUAACACUCUUCAGAACGACAUGGCACAUGCAUUUAACGAUCGAUUCGAAUUUCUUUUGCUUUCCGCGAUCCUUCCACCAGAGGCGCUAGUGUUUGAUCGCUUUGACGUUUGCCAGUGUACACGUUGCUGAAUGAUGCAAAUGAAACUUACAGGCGAUUUGUGUAGUAGUGUGCGUGUUAGACAAACGUCAAAUCGAAAUCCAUCAUGGCCGACAGUGUCUCGCGCGGUUCUACCAACAGGUGGCAGUGUGCUCAUGAGGAAGACACCGAGCAAAAGUUUUUGAUGAAUUUCCUCUAAGAGUUACGUCUGUUUGUCUGUGAUAAAAAUGUUAGCGAAUGGUCUCAAAUAUAUUGACCGGCAUAGGUCACAGCAGGUAGAUUCAGCAAAAGGUGAUAUUGGGAACCAGGCCCGUGCACAGAAAAGGCGACAAGGGAGGGGUUUUACCCAAUUUUAGCAAAGGGUGAAGGAGGCCUUGUGUAGAGAGUAUCGGCAAUGGGAGGAGUUUAACCCCCAAAACCCAUUCGUUGUGCACGGGCUUGUUGGGAACAUAAUAUGCUGCCUGCGCUUCCCCAUCGGUACUGUAGCUAUAUUUUUUUCAACGCGCAUUAUGGACAAUGGCAGGGACAACUCCCUCCUUUGCUGUACGAUACUAGAUAAACUGUAAAGAGAUCGUAGAUAAGAGCUAGAAUAUAGAUUUUAAUCGAAAUCUGAUUGCCAUUGCAUUUUACUCAUUGUUUUUUUACCACUCAUCGUAGGCAACGUCAAGAGAAAAUUUCCUUCCUCCUCCAUUGUUCAGUGUCAGAUAAACUUCAAUUAGUUACUUUUAGUUAAGAAAGCUUCAAAAUCAAUUUAUUGCAGUGGAUUAGGUUCAAAAUCUAUUGCAUUCCACUAAUUUCGAUACAAAAUUUCUUCGGGCGUAACAACAAAAGCGAUCGAUUCUAGGUAAUAUUGACCAGGCGUAAUUCCAGUGCUGGCGACCAAGCGGCGUAGCAUGUCGGGCGUAAUGACCAAUGAGUUUUUAUUUGGGCGUAAUUUUCAUUUCAUUCAUUUUCUUCAAGGAAAAACGCUAGUUUGUACUUUUUGACAUAAAAUCACCAAGAGGAUAGUGUUUUCUUCUAAAACAACGAAAAAGAUUGAGUGCACACGCACAAAGUGUUAAAUAGGAAUUAGUUUUAGGUUGUGAAACUUUGCAAGCGUUUUUCUCGAUUCUAACAUUUUGGAUAUCCGCCCUUUUCACAUGUUGGUCUAGAUUUGUUUUAAAAAUUUGUUUCAGGCACUUCCGAUAACCAUGGCUAGCUUGCGGUGCUUUACUCUAUCUUACUGGAGCUACUUCACCGGCCUCAUUUAUCAAAUGCUUUGUACACUUUUGGGUAAUAUUAAUAAAAAAAUGCGGUGGGUGGGGUGUUUCAUUGGACUCCAUAAGACAUCCGAAAUAACUUCGAGAUUCGGACUAGGGCAACUUACUAUACCAACAUAUUGCAAUUAGGAAGGUUAACUAUUAAAGUAACGAAAUUAAAUUAUCAAAGCGAAGUCCCGAAUCUCUACUCGUAAUGCAGGUGAGUUCGUGCAUGUCUGCAACAUGUUGGUAGGUAGCCAAGACAGAAUUAUUCGCCUUUGAAGUUUUUGGAGUAGUCUAUGAGAUAUUCUUCCUUGUAAUCAGCACAUGAGUUUUAGAUGAUCAUAGCCAUCAAAAUAGAACAGUUCUCUUUGAAAUUAUUCCUCAUAGGCGUCUGUCGCGUGAAAGGUUCACCAAUUCCUCUGAAGUUGUUUGGUGAAGAACAACACAUCUACUUUGAAAAUAGAACACUUAUCUCUGUAGCUAUUCCUCGUAGCUAUCAGAACUUGUCGAGUUGAAGGUUCACCAAGUCCUCUAAAGCUGUUUGGUGACGCACAAUACAUCUACUUUGAAUUUAUUCCUAACAGCCACCAAAAUUUAUUGUGUAUAAUUUUCACCAAGUCCUCCGAAGUUGCUUGGUGACGCACAAUACAUCUACCUCGAAAAUGUUUUGCUCGUAGCCAUCAGAACUUGUCGUGUACAAGGUUCACCAAGUCCUCUGGAGUUGUUUGGUGACGCACAAUACAUUUGCUUUGAAAACAGAACAAUUUAUCAUCGUAGUUUAGCCAUCAGAACUUGUCGAGUUGAAGGUUCACCAAGUCCUCUAAAUUUUGUUUGGUGACGUACAAAACAUCUACUUUGAAAAUAGAACAAUUACCUUUGUAGCUAUUUCUCGUAGCUAUUAGAAUUUGUCGUAUAACAGGUUCACGUAGUCCUCUGGAGUUGUUUGGUGACUCACAAUACAUCGAAUUUGAAAACAGAACAAUUUAUAAUCGUAGUUAUUCCUCAUAGCCAUCAGAACUUGUCGAGUUGAAGGUUCACCAAGUCCUCUAAAGUUGUUUGGUGACGCACAAUACAUCUACCUCGAAAAUAGAACAAUUCUCUAUGAAGUUAGUGUUCAUUGCCAUAAGAACUUGUCGUAAGGUUCACCAAGUCCUCUGGAGUUGUUUGGUGACUCACAAUACAUCGACUUUGAAAACAGAACAAUUCAUAAUCGUAGCUAUUCCUCAUAACCAUCAGAACUUGUCGAGGAGAAGGUUCACCAAGUCCUCUGGAGUUGUUUGGUGACGCACAAUACAUUUGCUUUGAAAACAGAACAAUUUAUCAUCGUAGUUUAGCCAUCAGAACUUGUCGAGUUGAAGGUUCACCAAGUCCUCUAAAUUUUGUUUGGUGACGUACAAAACAUCUACUUUGAAAAUAGAACAAUUACCUUUGUAGCUAUUUCUCGUAGCUAUUAGAAUUUGUCGUAUAACAGGUUCACGUAGUCCUCUGGAGUUGUUUGGUGACUCACAAUACAUCGAAUUUGAAAACAGAACAAUUUAUAAUCGUAGUUAUUCCUCAUAGCCAUCAGAACUUGUCGAGUUGAAGGUUCACCAAGUCCUCUAAAGUUGUUUGGUGACGCACAAUACAUCUACCUCGAAAAUAGAACAAUUCUCUAUGAAGUUAGUGUUCAUUGCCAUAAGAACUUGUCGUAAGGUUCACCAAGUCCUCUGGAGUUGUUUGGUGACUCACUAUACAUCGACUUUGAAAACAGAACAAUUUAUCAUCGUAGUUAUUCCUCAUAACCAUCAGAACUUGUCGAGUUGAAGGUUCACCAAGUCCUCUAAAUUUUGUUUGGUGACAUACAAAACAUCUACUUUGAAAAUAGAACAAUUACCUUUGUAGCUAUUUCUCGUAGCUAUUAGAAUUUGUCGUAUAACAGGUUCACGUAGUCCUCUGGAGUUGUUUGGUGACUCACUAUACAUCGACUUUGAAAACAGAACAAUUUAUCAUCGUAGUUAUUCCUCAUAGCCAUCAGAACUUGUCGAGUUGAAGGUUCACCAAGUCCUCUAAAUUUUGUUUGGUGACAUACAAAACAUCUACUUUGAAAAUAGAACAAUUACCUUUGUAGCUAUUUCUCGUAGCUAUUAGAAUUUGUCGUAUAACAGGUUCACGUAGUCCUCUGGAGUUGUUUGGUGACUCACAAUACAUCGACUUUGAAAACAGAACAAUUUAUAAUCGUAGUUAUUCCUCAUAGCCAUCAGAACUUGUCGAGUUGAAGGUUCACCAAGUCCUCUAAAGUUGUUUGGUGACGCACAAUACAUCUACCUCGAAAAUAGAACAAUUCUCUAUGAAGUUAGUGUUCAUUGCCAUAAGAACUUGUCGUAAGGUUCACCAAGUCCUCUGGAGUUGUUUGGUGACUCACAAUACAUCGACUUUGAAAACAGAACAAUUUAUCAUCGUAGUUAUUCCUCAUAGCCAUCAGAACUUGUCGAGUUGAAGGUUCACCAAGUCCUCCGAAGUUGCUUGGUGACGCACAAUAUACAUCUACCUCGGAAAUAGAACAGUUAUCUUUAUUUGUAUUUAGUUAUUCCUUAUGUAUUUGCAUUCAGUUGUUCUUAUGCUAUUUUUUAUUAAUUUCAAUUUUAACAAACAAAAUUUUUUCCUAUCUUAGUUCAAUCGCUGCGAAAUCGGAUCAUUAUGGCAGCGAUGAACUGCGGCCGUUCCCAUAGUCCGUAAUGGUUUUCCUGCUUCUGCCACUCCUAAUAUUUGUACCACCGUUUCUCUCACUUUCUUACAUUAGGGGUCCCUCACAUGAUCGCGUCACCUCCUCCUAUUUCCUCGGGGAAGUAAGCGGUUGGCACAGGGAAAUAUGCGUACCGUAACGGUGGAGGGGCUUCCUUUUCUUUACAGGUCAUCGCUAGAACUUUUAUAAAAAAAAAUCGCAUGUUGUCUGUUGAAGGCCAAAGCGUUUCGAUGGUAUGAACCUUGUGGUGGCCGUCAAUUUGGGCAGUGAACUUAACGAUAUUGUUAUCCUCGUGCUUCUGGGUGGGUGGUGGCUUUGGCUGAUGCACCUUCACAGGUCGAAUACUCCCAGCAGCACAGCUUACUGCUGAAACCGCCUCGAAACGGAUGGGGAACGUGGUUCUGCUGUCUCCCCAGACCGAUACCCUUCCGGGCUCCACGUUAUUUUUUUCCACAAACCGUAACAACCUGGACGAUCGAUUGUUCAGUUUCGGUUAAUUUCCGUGGCCAUAAUCGACUUCAGCCUGCCUGCACGGAGAAGUGAAAAAAAUCGAUUGCGGUGAUCCGACGCUGCAUCAGUGACCCCUCCAGGCCUGCCUUUAAAUCCUCCGUUUCCAUGCAAGUCGAGUGCGGUGAAUCCGAAGUGUGCGCUUUAGACCGGACGUACCGUGUUGGAUUCGGCAUUGCAGCACUACGACAGUAUGUCACUAAUGGUACUGGACUGCCUCAGCAUCAUGGUCCUCAGUUCAACAUCUCUUAUACUUUCUGUGGACGGACAGAUUAUGUAAGGAUUCGUCAUGCUGGUUUUGCUUGGGAAUUUGCGUUCUUGCACUAUUUUUUUUGAGGCUAAAAGUAUUCGGAAUCCUAAGUUAAAUAUCAAAUCUAUAGACAAAUUGUUCGAAUUACCUGCCUGCAGAAAAUGGAGAUCAAACUACCACUGCCCCCGUACGUUGAGAAGUUGCUAUUAAGCGUCGAGGAAGAUCCAAACUUUAAACCAAAUGAAGUGAUCAAAAUCAGAUGUGGAAAUCCGCCUUUAUUUAAAUUAUUGUUUUCCAUAAGUGGAAACUCAUUUUUGAGCUAACGUCAGGAAAAAUCAUAUGUUCAUGAGUUGUUUCAUCAAAUUAUGCUGAAAAGUUAUUUGUUUACAUUUUGGCUUUUCCGCCCUUUUCACAUGUUGGUCUAGAUAUUUCCUAAGUAGAACAGUGAAAGGAGCAAAGAAAUAAAGCAAACUUUUCCUCUAUUUCCACCAACCGUGUAGUAGCUACACAUAGGUAAACUUGCGUUCUCCUCCGUAGACCAUUUCAAGUAGCUUCUGGAAUAAUGAGAAACAAUAAAUAGAACGUAGAGCCGAACUCUUUCCGAAAGUAGCCAAGGCUACUCUAAGGUAAAACUACAGGUAAAACCAAACUUUCGGACGGAAGCUAAUGUAGUUCAUAGGUGCAGAGACUGCAGAGACAAAAAACGGAUAUGACAUUAAACCAAACAUAAAAAAAAACUUUACUAUAUUUUAGAAUUAGACAACGGUUGUUCGCCGACGACAAGACCGGAAGCAAAAUUGUUCGACUAAACGAGUAAGCGCUAGGCAUAUUUUUGUACCAAAUCGAUUCGCCAACUUUUAUACAUUUGAAGACAAAUGGAUUCAAUGGAAAACAACAGGCUAAAAUCCGGGGAUCGAUGGUGGAGAAUGUGGCCGACCGUGUAUGUUGUAAGAAAUAAAGAAAAAAAAAAUCCUGUACUCAACAAAUGAUAUCGGUAACAAUACCCGUAUGAUGUUUUUUUCUCCUUUUUCUAACAUUUUUUCGGCCUAGAGGGCGGAAACCCUCAGCCGACUAGAAAUAUAAUUACCUACAAAAAAAAAACUGAAAUUUAAAUCGUUCGUGUAAAAUAUGAGAUUGCAUUCGUCGAUGUGAAUUUUGUUACAGAGUAGCGAAAUCGUUCGUCAACUUAAUCGCUGAGAUGCGCUAGGAGAAAUGGGAAAAGCAUAUAAUCGUGUAACAUUUCAGUGCAAUAUGGGUUAAGAAAAAUGAAAAUAAAAAAGUAUUUGAAUAAAAAAAAGUUAGAUAGACAUAUCAUGAUAUAUUGAAAGUACUUACUAAAACUGCAAAUUAAGCAUGACUUACAAACUUCAACCGUAUGUAAUG